GGAGCUCAUUGGGCUUCAGAGUCUUGGAGACCAGCCCCUACUGCCACAGCGGGCCACUAUAGAUGAGAAGGGCCAUGAGCAGAAGUUGGCUGGCACAUGCCAAAUCUAGCCUUUCUAGUCAUCUCAUCUCCCAGGGGGCACAUUUUAUACAAAUAUCAGGAUAAGAUGGAAACAGAUGCAAGGUACACAGGGACCAGCCAAGAGACAUUUCCCUAGGGCCAGAUGAUCUGGGAAGGGCUGCCUAUCUCUCUUUCAGUCCUGGAUAAGAGUCUAGCCACCCGCCCUCCCAAGAGACCACCAGGAGGUGGGGCUCAGGUUCUUGCUUCUUCUCUCUUUUCACCACAGCACAUCUGGUGUACCAUACUCUCUUGUCAACCUGUGGAAGUGAAACUUUCUCUGCUGAGACCAAGAAAGCAAAGGCUGGAGCUGGCCUAAAUGCCUAUUACCUGGAGACCAACUCAAUGAAGGAUUUAUGCAACUGAGUAUGGUAUAGUAUGCACGACUAUAACACACACACACACACACACACACACACACACACACACACACACACUUUGCCUUUAUAUACUUCCUUCUGGAAGGACAAAGAUAUGUGAACAAAGGCUGCUCUGGGGAGCAAAGCCAAGAUCCAGAAGACUCUGCAGGUGAGUGGGAGGGGGAGAAACCUCUGCUCUAAACCACUUCCUCUCUUUUGGAUUUUGAAUCGUCUGAACACAUUACCUAUUCAAAAAAUUAUAUCAUUCCCAUUUUAAAAAAGAACAUUUCAAAGGGGGAGAUGAAGAGCUGGGAACUGAGCAGCUGAGAAUGAAGGGAGAGUCUGCACAGAUAGAAUAGACAAAUAGCAAGGGACCUAGGCUCCCUAGGUGGGAGCUGGAUCUGGGGACUCAGGACAGGGAGUCAGUUGGAGCAGAGUUGGAGGCCUUCUGGGGAAGACGAUGGCUGGUAAGAAAUACAGGGCAUGGAUUCAUUCAUGUGAAAGACUUUGGAUUUUAUGACAGAUAGUGACCAUCUGGAGGCUUUAGCAUGGACCAGACAUAGACAGGCUAUCAUUUAGGAGGAGCCUCCUGCUACAUGAAGAAUGUAGUGUAGUGUGUGU
rnacentral:lncRNA from 1 species